rnacentral:lncRNA from 1 species
AUCAAAGAAUGUGCUGGAAGAAUACAGAGAGCUCUUCAGGAGACAGCGUGGUGGAACACAACACGCAACACUCAUCAAGUGUUUCAGGUCUUUGAUCUUUUCCCACCUUCUUGGCCCCACCAGCCUCCUGAUACCUCUGGCUAAGGAGGGGUGGGAGUGAAGGUUUCAAAACCCCAGAAGGAACAGUCACAUGACCCGCCCGGACUGGGGCUCAGCCUGUGGCCUGUGCAGCGAAAUUCCUGGAGAUUUGUGAUGGGCCCAGGACGCCUCCCCAGAAGCUCUCCGGGUGGCCAUGGGGUUGAAGACUCCCAAGUAAAAGUAUUUCAGAAUCAGAGGGUGUGGGGAUGAGGUGGUGUGGGGGAGGGUGAAGCCUCCUGGGACAGGGUCCAAUGUGCAAUUUGAGCCCUGGGGGCGAGCCUGGGGCAGGGCUCCAGGGCUGGGGUGGGC